rnacentral:pre_miRNA from 1 species
UUAACUCUAAUUUGUAUGGAGUUGGAACGCUUGCCUGCGUUUGCCGCUAGGGGCGCUGUUCCAACUGCAUACAAACUUGAGUUA